AAAUGACUCUCUUGGAACUUGUUAAAAUGAAGAUUCUGCAUCAAUAGGUCUGGGGUGGGGCCUCAGAAUCUGCAUUUCCAACAAGCUUCCAGAUAAUGCAGAU
rnacentral:miRNA from 1 species